AGAGUUUGAUCAUGGCUCAGAAUCAACGCUGGCGGCGUGCCUAACACAUGCAAGUCGAACGAGAAAGUGGAGCAAUCCAUGAGUAAAGUGGCGACCGGGUGAGUAACACGUGACUAACCUGCCCUUGAGUGGGGGAUAACCUCGGGAAACCGGGGCUAAUACCGCAUAACAUCGCAAGAUCAAAGGAGCAAUCCGCUGAAGGAGGGGGUCGCGGCUGAUUAGUUAGUUGGUGAGGUAACGGCUCACCAAGACGAAGAUCAGUAGCCGGCCUGAGAGGGCGCACGGCCACACUGGAACUGAAACACGGUCCAGACUCCUACGGGAGGCAGCAGUGGGGAAUUUUGCGCAAUGGGGGAAACCCUGACGCAGCAACGCCGCGUGGAGGAUGAAGUCCCUUGGGAUGUAAACUCCUUUCGAUCGGGACGAUUAUGACGGUACCGGAAGAAGAAGCACCGGCUAACUCUGUGCCAGCAGCCGCGGUAAUACAGAGGGUGCGAGCGUUGUUCGGAAUUAUUGGGCGUAAAGGGCGCGUAGGCGGUGCGGUAAGACUGUGGUGAAAUCUCCGGGCUCAACUCGGAAAUUGCCGCGGUGACUGCCGUGCUGGAGUGUGGGAGAGGUGAGUGGAAUUCCCGGUGUAGCGGUGAAAUGCGUAGAUAUCGGGAGGAACACCUGUGGCGAAAGCGGCUCACUGGACCACAACUGACGCUGAGGCGCGAAAGCUAGGGGAGCAAACAGGAUUAGAUACCCUGGUAGUCCUAGCCCUAAACGAUGAUUGCUUGGUGUGUCGGGUACCCAAUCCCGACGUGCCGCAGCUAACGCGAUAAGCAAUCCGCCUGGGGAGUACGGUCGCAAGACUGAAACUCAAAGGAAUUGGCGGGGGCCCGCACAAGCGGUGGAGCAUGUGGUUCAU
rnacentral:rRNA from 1 species